UGCGCCGGGGCUGGGGAGAUGGGGCCAGAACAGGGCCAAAGUGGGGCCGGAGCCAGCGAACUUGCUGCAAGCUGGGCGGGACUGAGGCCCUGUGUCAGCACGGGGGGAACGCAGUGGUGCCAAGCCUGGCUCAGGUGUCUGUGGAAGCAUGGGGCCGGGAGCGGCCUGGCGGGGAUGAAAGAAGAAGAGGGGUCUGGUUUAACAUCUUCAAACUAAGGUGGAGUGGACGUUCUCUUGUUUUGAAGUCAAACUGAGACAGCAGAGACCUUCGAAUUCUGAACAGUCAUGACUAUGCAGCAGUAACAGAAAGUCAGUAGUAACCCGAUCUUGGAGGGUGGCUCUCCUGGUUAUUUCCUCAUCUGCUAGGUGGUUGCUGAUGGCAGUUGAAGUCAGGUUCGCUUGUUUAACUACCCAGCACCCUAGGUGGCCCAAUUCACCUAGAGCUUUGGCUGGAGCUACUCAGGGCAGAAAUACUGAGACUGCAACUCUUUUUCCUUUAGCCCAAUGAAUGAUUUCUUCAUCACAGUGUUCGUCAAAUUCAUUAACACUGUGUUUUAGUUUUCAGGUUGAACUCACAAUUUUGUUUUGCCAAUUUGCAACAUGGGUUUUGUUGGGGGUAAACAAGGAAAGCCUCCCGUACAAGGCCCUCCUACCAGACAGAUGUUGUCCAGUCUGAGGGUCUCUGCCAGCGCAACCCAGACGUUUUUUCUGGGCUGCAGGACAAUCCACGCCUCUGAGGCUGGCAUCAGCAUGGGGAGGAUGAAAGUGAUCCACAGAAACUGUCAUGCUGGGGAUGGUUUCUUCCUAAAAUACAGGUAAACAAGGA